GACGAACGCUGGCGGCGUGCUUAACACAUGCAAGUCGAACGGAAAGGCCCUGCUUUUGUGGGGUGCUCGAGUGGCGAACGGGGGAGUAACACGUGAGUAACCUGCCCUUGACUUUGGGAUAACUCCAGGAAACUGGGGCGAAUACCGGAUAGGAGCUCCUGCUGCAUGGUGGGGGUUGGAAAGUUUCGGCGGUUGGGGAUGGACUGGCGGCUUAUCAGCUUGUUGGUGGGGUAGUGGCUUACCAAGGGUUUGACGGGUAGCCGGCCUGAGAGGGUGACCGGCCACAUUGGGACUGAGGUACGGACCAGACUCCUACGGGAGGCAGCAGUGGGGAAUAUUGCAGAAUGGGCGGAAGUCUGAUGCAGCAACGCCGCGUGCGGGAUGACGGCUUUCGGGUGGUAAACCGCUUUCGCCUGUGACGAAGCGUGAGUGACGGUAAUGGGUAAAGAAGCACCGGCUAACUACGUG
rnacentral:rRNA from 1 species